rnacentral:rRNA from 1 species
UGGGAAUAUUGGCACAAUGGGCGAAAGGCCUGAAUGCAGCAACGCCGCGUGCGGGAUGACGGCCUUCGGGCUUGGUAAAACCGCUUUCAGCAGGGACGAAGGUUUUCUGACGGUACCUGCAGAAGAAGCACCGGCUAACUACGUGCCAGCAGCCGCGGUGAUACGUAGGGUGCGAGCGUUGUCCGGAAUUAUUGGGCGUAAAGAGCUUGUAGGCGGUCCGUUGCGUCGGAAGUGAAAACUCAGGGCUUAACCCUGAGCCUGCUUUCGAUACGGGCGGACUUGAGGGAUGUAGGGGAGAACGGAAUUCCUGGUGGAGCGGUGGAAUGCGCAGAUAUCAGGAGGAACACCAGUGGCGAAGGCGGUUCUCUGGACAUUUCCUGACGCUGAGAAGCGAAAGCGUGGGGAGCAAACAGGCUUAGAUACCCUGGUAGUCCACGCCGUAAACGGUGGCACUAGGUGUGGGACCCAUUCCACGGGUUCCGUGCCGUAGCUAACGCAUUAAGUGCCCCGCCU